rnacentral:rRNA from 1 species
UACGGAGGGGACUAGCGUUGUUCGGAAUUACUGGGCGUAAAGCGCACGUAGGCGGAUUUGUAAGUCAGGGGUGAAAUCCCCGGGGCUCAACCUCGGAACUGCCUUUGAUACUGCAAAUCUCGAGUCCGGAAGAGGUGAGUGGAAUUCCUAAGUGUAGAGGUGAAAUUCGUAGAUAUUAGGAAGAACACCAGUGGCGAAGGGCGGCUCCACUGGU